GUCACAAGAAAACUUGGAAAUAAUUCAUUUGGCUCCUGCUGAUGCUGUGAAUGUAUUACUUCUUAACUGAACGGGCCUGAUAUUAUUUGAUGCUAGCUUAAAUCCAUGGGACACAUGGCAAAGCUGCUGCUCAGCAGGUGCCAGUGUUGAUCAUGAGGGCAUGCAGCUGCUUUCCUGAGUGAGCACACAGGUCUCUGGGAUUGCUUGGAGGAGCAUCAGCCCAGAGGAGCACUGUGUCAGCAGGCAUUAAUUAAGGAUGGAAUUAAGAAUUUCUGAACCUGGGGGCUGUUUUCAUCUGAAUCUCUGGGCUGAGAAGGGCCUUUGUAACCAUUGCUCUACUGCUAGACAUAAAUCAGCCUUUUAACCUUGGGUCUACAGUAAAUUGAUUUAUAGUGGCAUUGACUCUGCUGCUGACACGUCUGAUCAGGAAGUGGACUGAGCUUUCAGGAAAGAUCACGCUCUGCUCUUCCACUAUGAGAGAUGCCCCAUAAUGAGCAUGGUGACCUCUACAGCUCUUCCUUUCCUCUUGUCCUUGAUUUUCUCCCUUUGGAGCCUAAUUGUGAAGAGAAGGCAUCAGGAGAUCGAGCCAUGCAGUAAUUAAACCCAUGUCAAAGAUUAAAUGAAAG